UAUGUGAAAGCCCAAAAAUCGAAUUAUAAAUUUUAAUUUAAGAGCUGUUUUCUCAUGACUUUAAUUCCAAUGUCAUUUCCAUGACACUGUUCCAUGAGAAUAAGAUGGGUUUUUUUUCCGGUUCGCUCACAGCAGGCCGGGGAAGGCUGUCACAGGACUCAUGUAUUUUUAAUUUCGCCAAGAGAUUUAAAAAAACUAUGAUGUUAUUCAUGCCAUGAGUAGAAUCGAGCUAGAUACCAGACGUUCUUUGAAGUAACUCACUCGUGUAUUCCACAUGCACAAGAAAGGGAGUUUUGGCGGCAGAUAAAAAGAUUCCACUUGUUUCCGCUUAAGAGAGCAAAUCAUUUGCAGAAGUCAACUGUAAUUUAAAGGAUGUGCAUCUUGAACGGCCAAGCCUGAGAAAAUAAGUCUGUGGCCUUAAAAAACUUAGGAAAUGCUAAAGUUUUAAAGUUUCCAAGCAAAACAGUCACCGAUUACGUUAUGUACGAGAACCCAUUCAUCCAGCUGACAGCGUUCACCCUCAGCAUGUGGGUACAAGUCAAUACAAGUACUAUCUUUCACGCAGCCUUCUCCUACUCCACUACUCGUCAGAGUAACGGACUGUCGAUGGAAGUCAGAAGUACUGAAAUAAGAAUAUUACUUGAUAAUGA